UACGUAGGGGGCUAGCGUUGUCCGGAUUUAUUGGGCGUAAAGAGCGUGUAGGCGGCCAGGUAGGUCUGGUGUGAAAACUCGAGGCUUAACCUCGAGAUGUCAUCGGAAACCAUCUGGCUAGAGUCCGGAAGAGGAGAGUGGAAUUCCUGGUGUAGCGGUGAAAUGCGCAGAUAUCAGGAGGAACACCGGUGGCGAAGGCGCUGCUCUGGGCCGAAACUGACGCUGAGGAGCAAAAGCGUGGGUAGCAAACAGG
rnacentral:rRNA from 1 species